GGAGAGGUGGCAGAGCGGUCUAACGCGCUGGUCUUGAAAACCAGAGUCCCGGAAACGGGACCGUGGGUUCGAAUCCCACCCUCUCCG
rnacentral:tRNA from 1 species